UGGGGAAUAUUGCACAAUGGGGGAAACCCUGAUGCAGCGACGCCGCGUGAGCGAAGAAGGUUUUCGAAUCGUAAAGCUCUGUCCUAUGGGAAGAUAAUGACGGUACCAUAGGAGGAAGCCCCGGCUAACUACGUGCCAGCAGCCGCGGUAAUACGUAGGGGGCAAGCGUUGUCCGGAAUCACUGGGCGUAAAGGGUUCGCAGGCGGAAAUGCAAGUCAGUUGUGAAAGGCAGAGGCUCAACCUCUGUAAGCAAUUGAAACUGUAUUUCUUGAGAUGUGGAGAGGCAAGUGGAAUUCCUAGUGUAGGGUGAAAUGCGUAGAUAUUAGGAAGAAUACCGGUGGCGAAGGCGACUUGCUGGACAAAAACUGACGCUGAGGAACGAAAGGGUGGGUAGCAAACAGG
rnacentral:rRNA from 1 species